AAAUAGUUGUCCAAUUUCUUCUUAGAAACCUCCAAUGAUGGAGCACCCACAACUUCUGAAGGGAUCUCAACCUACAACAUCACUGAAGAACCAACAAGAAAGCUUGGACACCUCACAGAGGGAAACAAAUGCUUCCAAAGAAUCAAAGACCUGAAAACAGUUGAAAUAUAGUUGAAAUCAUUUUCUCAUUUGAUAUAAUAGCACUCUCUGCAUACACAGAAUUAGCAAAAGAAUCCAUGACAGCAAUACUAUAUAGCACACCUGAUCUAACCAAAUAUAUCAAGAUUGAAAUACCCAGAAUCAUGGAUCUCAUCAACCUUUGACCACAUAUUUUUAGCUUGAUGGACAAAUAUACAACAAAUCAAAGGAAUUGGGACUACAGCUUUCAAGACUCACAGAGACCAUAAUGCCUAGAAUCUCUAGCAGUCCCACACAUAGAAUCCAAAGUAUGGAUCCGGUACGUAGUUGAUAUCUUGUCAUACUCAAAGGACCAUCUAGAGCAGGCAUGUCAAAGUCGCAACAUCACGUGACGUUGCGCAACGUAUCGGGCCGAUUUUGCCAUUGCUGGCAAUGGGGUGGGCGUGGCUUCCACGUGACGCGUCCGGCCUGCAGGCCACCAGUUUGACACCCCUGAUUUAGAGAAAACAUACCAUCAAUAACAUACAUCUUCAAAGAAAUAAAAUUCACAAGAAACAUAGAAAACAAUAUGCUACCCUUCCUGGAAAUCCUCAGAGGCAGUGAUGGCAAAUUAAAGCACAAAUCUCUCAUAUCCAUACUAACCAAGUGCUCCACUACCGAUCUAACAACCUAACUUCCCACAAGAAAAACACUAUUUAAACGAUCACUACAGCAACCCUGAAUAUCAGAAGAAAAUAGAUUAUCUAUAAAACAUCUUCCAUCCAAAUGGAUACCGAUGCAACUUUAUCAAAAUAGGCUGAUCAGUCAUACCAAUGUAGCACAACCAACACAAUUUGUGAAAAGAAUAACACUGCCAUACAUCAAAAACACCUUAAACAGACAAUAAACAGUCUAUUACAACCACAUAGCAUCACCAUAGCACACAAACCAGCAAAAGUCCUCCAAAACCUCCUAAGUAAACCAAAAGACCCAAUAGCCUCAAAGGAAAAGCAUAAAGUCACAAAGUAACUCAUACAACAGCAUAUAGUGUACAGUAACAGCCACUAUGUAGGACAAACAGGUAGAAGACUAGCAGAGCACAUCCACGAACACCAACUAGCAGGCUGAAGACAUGAUGCAAACUCUUUAAUUUCAUAACAUAUUAAAUGACUCAACAAUAGUUGGGAAAUAGAGUAUCCUAGAGCACGCCAAAUCCAAAAACGCUAAAGAAUUCCUGGAAGCCCAGCACUUAGGGCAAAUUAGCCAUCAACAAGCACAGAGACAAUCAAAAAGUCAAAAAGGAAACAAUAAGACCAAAACACGUUAUCGCUAGCAAUCAACACCCAGAUGAGCAGAGAUUAACACCAAGAUUAACACUAGGCCAAUAAUCAAGAGGUAAGCAAUAUCCCAAUCAAAGAGUAAACAAACAGGCUAGCAGUAAACAAACAGGCUAAUCAAGGGACUACCAACACCACUUCCAGCAACACUGACAGAACAAGUCACUAGUAUAUAAAAUGAGAGCAAAUCCCCUCCCUUCCAAUAUGUUACAUAGUUUGAUGAUGUUACUUAGUUUGGUAAUGAAAUACUUGCAAGAAAACAAGCUCAGGGAGCACCAAGGACCCCCUCACAUUUUCUUUAACUCUCCAAAAAAAGGGAGGCUCUCUUCUGAAACAUUUCCCAUGCCCUGCUACUGUAUGAAGUGAGAUACCUUUUACACACUGCUUGUCCAAUCUCUGGCUGUCCUUCCCGUCUCCAAGAUCACUUUCACAUAGCAUUACAUAUUGCCAAAUAUCAGAACAAAUUUAGCAAUGUGCAGAAAGUCUAUUAUGGAAACCCAAGGUCUAUCAAAUACUUACUUCCAUAUUAAAAUCAGAAAAAAUAAUUAUAAGUUACUGAGUAUUAAGAUGUGGCUGAUUAAUUUUAGCAUGUAAUAGAUAAAGUCAGUAAUAAAACAAAAUCUAUAUCUUAACAAUGCUGAAUAUUACCUGCCUUGGCUGGUUGACCUUUGCUCCUGAAGAUAGUAAUAACCGAAUUAAAUUCAGAUAGCCUCCCUGAGCAGCCAGGAAAAGUGCAGUAGCUCCAUCCUUAAUUUGAAAUACAAAAAUAAUUAGCUUGUUUACUAAUAAAAAUGUCCAUAAUAGAACUAAUGAAUGUUUUCCUUCUUCCAUUAAUUCUCAAGCAUAUAAAAAUGCCACUUGUACUUAAGAAUGUUUUCCACAUCCAUUAAACACCUCCUGCCACUUAAUGCAACUCUUUCUGCAACACUGAUGAAAGUAAAAUUCAAAGAUGCUCUUUAAUUAGUCUGCUCCUAGCUUGAGAUGUAGUCAAUGUAAAGAAUGGAGCUGUUUUGUGAGUAAUUGUUCCAGCAGGGUGUAUUUGAGGUCUGCCUAGAGAGGAACUUUGCCAAUCAGAAACCUUGUAUUAGCUCAGCUGAGUAACAAAUAUGACAAAUGGCAACCAGGUUCUUCUGUUUAUCCAUUGCUUUGAAGUAUAUCAAACCAUUUAAAGACUAUCAAA